AUGGUUAUUUUACCUUAGAUUCCUAAUAAUUGUGGUUAACGGGUUAUAGUUGUGUCCUACUUAUUGAUGGAGGGAAAGAACUUUUAAGAUUUUCAAUUAAAAGAUAAAAGAACUUCUCAAUUUAUGGGAAAAAUAUGCUCUUUUUAUUCUGUGUUUUGCAUUUUCUGUCUGCAUGGUCGUUUUUUGUGCGAGGAAGAGAUUCUUUUAGGAUUUAUGAGUGAAUUUUGCAAAUAGAUGAUUUGAAUAAAUUGUGAACUGUAAUCUUGCAAUCGUUGGGGCUUUGAUCACUUAUUUUUUUGUGUAUUUUGUGUAUCUCUCUAUUUGUAAUUUCAUUAUCACAUGAUUCUAUUAUCCUUAUUAAAAUGAUUCUCCUCUUCAUUGUGUUUAACCAACUUUUUCGAUCACAAACUUUGCAGAUAAUUUCCAUUGAUAAUGGGUUUCAAUUCAGUGUAUAGGAGCUUGCAAGAUAUAUUCCCCCAAGAUUAGGAGGCACAUAUGAAAGGGACGUGCCAUUUGCUACUGCCCUUCAAGAUUUUGGAAGUGACCAUAAUGAUUUUCAUUUUGCUGCUUUAGGAUAUAAACUUCAUAUU